ensembl:piRNA 21ur-2403 ncRNA
UGAGCAAAUGCGAAAAACAUU